GACCUUCGGGGGUUUGGUCAGGAAAGAGGGGGCUACAUGGUGUAAAAACUCUGGAGUAAAGUCAGCUGAGCAUCUCCCACUUCCGUGAGGUGACCUCAACGACUCCCUGACAGCUCUUUCCGAGUCUCUCCAGCUGGGUGGCAUGGAAUGAGCCUUCCUCCCUCAUCCCAAGAUGACUCCUAUAAAGUGGAGAAGUGGACGGAGACGUCAAAUGGCUCCGUAUCAUAUAGACACGUCUACAGGUGCCUCAGCUGACUUGCCUUCACUGCCACGAUGGACUCAGCCCCCAACCAUGAGCCCAAAUCAGCCUCUUCGACCUGCAGCUGCUUCUGUCAGGCACUUGGCUACAGCAAGGAGAAGAGGAACCAAUGCACGGAC